UACGAAGGGGGCUAGCGUUGUUCGGAAUCACUGGGCGUAAAGCGCACGCAGGCGGAUUGAUAAGUCAGGGGUGAAAUCCCGGAGCUCAACUUCGGAAUUGCCUUUGAUACUGUCUGUCUUGAGUCCGGGAGAGGUGAGUGGAAUUCCUAGUGUAGAGGUGAAAUUCGUAGAUAUUAGGAAGAACACCAGUGGCGAAGGCGGCUCACUGGCCCGGUACUGACGCUCAUGUGUGAAAGCGUGGGGAGCAAACAGG
rnacentral:rRNA from 1 species